rnacentral:tRNA from 1 species
GGUCGCGUGGCCCAAUGGCAAGGCGUCUGACUACGACUCAGCAACCGAGGUCAUCUCGCGGCAGGAGUACAUCAGGAGAUUGCGGGUUCGAUCCCCGUCGUGACCU